rnacentral:rRNA from 1 species
AGAGUUUGAUCCUGGCUCAGAGCGAACGNNNNNCGGCAGUAACACAUGCAAGUCGAGCGGGCCCUUCGGGGUCAGCGGCAGACGGGUGAGUAACGCGUGGGAACGUGCCCUUUGGUCUGGGAUAACUCAGGGAAACUUGAGCUAAUACUGGAUACGCCCUUUAUGGGGAAAGGUUUACUGCCGAAGGAUCGGCCCGCGUCUGAUUAGCUAGUUGGUGGGGUAACGGCCUACCAAGGCGACGAUCAGUAGCUGGUCUGAGAGGAUGAUCAGCCACACUGGGACUGAGACACGGCCCAGACUCCUACGGGAGGCAGCAGUGGGGAAUAUUGGACAAUGGGCGCAAGCCUGAUCCAGCCAUGCCGCGUGAGUGAUGAAGGCCUUAGGGUUGUAAAGCUCUUUCGUCCGGGACGAUAAUGACGGUACCGGAAGAAGAAGCCCCGGCUACUUCGUGCCAGCAGCCGCGGUAAUACGAAGGGGGCUACGUUGCUCGGAAUCACUGGGCGUAAAGGGCGCGUAGGCGGACUUUUAAGUCGGGGGUGAAACCUGUGGCUCAACCACAGAAUUGCCUUCGAUACUGGGAGUCUUGAGUAUGGUAGAGGUUGGUGGAACUGCGAGUGUAGAGGUGAAAUUCGUAGAUAUUCGCAAGAACACCGGUGGCGAAGGCGGCUCGCUGGGCCAUACCUGACGCUGAGCGCGAAAGCGUGGGGAGCAAACAGGAUUAGAUACCCUAGUAGUCC